ensembl:lncRNA
CCAGGUGUUAUAGACUAGAGAGCAGGUGUUAUAGACUGUAGAGCAGGUGUUAUAGACUGUAGAGCAGGUGUUAUAGACUGUAGAGCAGGUGUUAUAGACUGGAGAGCAGGUGUUAUAGACUAGAGAGCAGGUGUUAUAGACCGUAGAGCAGGUGUUAUAGACUAGAGAGCAGGUGUUAUAGACUAGACCAGGUGUUAUAGACCUAAUCAGGUGUUAUAGACUAGUGAGUAGGUGUUAUAGACUAGACCAGGUGUUAUAGACCUAAUCAGGUGUUAUAGACUAUAUCAGGUGUUAUAGGCUAGAGCAGGUGUUAUAGACUAGACUAGGUGUUAAAGACUAGAGAGUAGGUGUUAUAGACUAGACUAGGUGUUAUAGACUAGAGAGUAUGUGUUAUAGACUAGAUUGCACGUGUUAUAGACUAGACCAGGUGUUAUAGACUAGAUCAGGUGUUAUAGACUAGAGAGCAGGUGUU